rnacentral:rRNA from 1 species
GACAGAGGGUGCAAACGUUGCUCGGAUUUACUGGGCGUAAAGCGCGUGUAGGCGGGCGACUAAGUCGGAUGUGAAAUCCCUGGGCUCAACCUAGGAACUGCAUUCGAAACUGGUCACCUAGAGUGAUGGAGAGGAAAGCGGAAUUCCCGGUGUAGAGGUGAAAUUCGUAGAUAUCGGGAGGAACACCAGUGGCGAAGGCGGCUUUCUGGACAGUGACUGACGCUGAGACGCGAAAGCGUGGGGAGCAAACAGG